UCGGGAGUAGCUCAAUUGGUAGGGCACUUGAUUGUUAAUCAAGAUAUUGUAGGUUCGAGUCCUACCUCCCGAGCCA
rnacentral:tRNA from 1 species